UACGUAGGGGGCAAGCGUUGUCCGGAUUUAUUGGGCGUAAAGAGCGUGUAGGCGGCCAGGUAGGUCCGUUGUGAAAACUCGAGGCUCAACCUCGAGACGCCGAUGGAAACCAUCUGGCUAGAGUCCGGAAGAGGAGAGUGGAAUUCCCGGUGUAGCGGUGAAAUGCGCAGAUAUCGGGAAGAACACCCGUGGCUAAGGCGCACAUCUGGCCCGAUACUGACGCUGAGGCGCGAAAGCUAGGGGAGCAAACGGG
rnacentral:rRNA from 1 species